UAAGAUCUCAAAUGUCUGUCUUUCUUA
rnacentral:piRNA from 1 species